UCUCACUGUAAUUUAUCUGUUAAUUACUGUAUGUACGGCGAUACCGUCUUUCAACAGCUCGAUAUUGCUUUUGAUGUUUAAACAGUCAGGAGAUCGAUGAAGAUCUGCACAAUCAGCAACUCGCCGCCGUAUAUGCAACUCCUGAAAACCCUAGAUCUACGUAUCUCUGCUUUUUUUGUUUCUUAGUUGAAAACAAGUUCCAGUUCUUGAUUUUGUGAACGUUCAAGGCUGUGUACGUACCCAGAACUGAUUUGGUUUUUCAAGUUGAAAUCACCGCUCAUUGAUAAAGAAAGAUCAAAGCUUGUUGAGAAAUUGAGUGAAGCUAGUCAACAUAAUCGAUUCCUCAAGCGCAAGAAAGCACGUGAAAUUGGAAUAAUUAACAUCAGAAAUGAGCUUUCACUUAUGGAGCUCGAAGUUCAGGUCUUUAUUUCUACUUUCGAUUUUUCAAUGUCACGACUCACUAUCUCAUUGCCUUAAGCUAAUUUGGUUGAGUUGAAAUCUGAUUAUAGUCUUAAGAUGAAGACCACACAUAAGCUGGUAACUGGUAAAUUCUUCCUCAAUUUAUUCUUAACUGGUCCUUGUUAAACUUUGUGUGGCCUGUAUGACAUGACACUGCGUUUUUGUUGUAUUAUUGGUAUCUUGUUUCUAUUUCCAAUUAGAACUGGCUUAUGAGACUUCGUGCAGCAGCUGGGAGGAUUAUCGGUUGAUCAAACUCACUGUCAUAGACUACAACGUAUGAAUUUCUAACCUCCUUUUGUAACUCUUAACUCUAUUUGGAUUUCUUAUGAUUUGGUUUACACACAGGUUUGCAAAUGACCAAAUCUGUUUAUGUAUCUUCUGAUUAUGUUGAUGAUUGUUUUCCUGGUAAAGAGUAUUUGAGAUCUUCUUUAUAAAGAGGUGAGCUUUUGGACAUGCUUACUUGUUCAGUCUCUUUGUUGGGAAAAUGCAGGAGUGAGUACCACAAGAAGACAAGUCUUGAGUAAGAAUCGGUGUACUAAAGCUGGAGACUUUGAGGAGGACUUCAAGAAGGCAAAGGAGAAGAAAGUAGGAGUUCCAAGGUUUUAACGUCUCUUAAGAACUUGUUUAGAUGUUAUAUAAUAUGUAGUAAAUACUUGCUAUAAG